ACAGUCAUGUGCUCUGGACAAACUUCCCAAGAACUCACAGAUGACACGCAGCUGUCCCAGCAGGAACCGGAGAACGAAUUGGUUGAGGCUAUGACAGCACUUUUGGGACGAUAUCAGCCUCAUGUACCAUCUUCAGAAAAACGUAGCAUUCCACAGUGUGCUGUGGGGUCCCGCUGCGCCAUGAGACUGGGUCCACGCUUUGGGAAAUUGUGCGACUGUGUCAGAGGAUCUAACUGUAACUCAUUUCUCUUAAAAUGCAUCUGAGUCAUUAAAAAAAAGCUGCAAAUCUAUAAUCCUUUCCUGAAGCUGUAAAGGCAUGCACCUGAAAGAGGCAGUGGGUGGAAAUCGUUUUUUCUGAAUCACUUGUGCAAGGUCCAUGAUAAGCAUUCAUCAAAAUGCAGCAUGACAAACAAUAGCAAAGCAUGGGUUUAAUGCGUUUAUUCAU